rnacentral:lncRNA from 1 species
UCUGAUCUUAAGGCUCUAAGUUGGAACCAUUGUUCCAUACCUGAGCUAUUUGAUCUAGAUUAGCACUCGGGGACCUUCCCUUAUGGAGAUGAUGCAUAGGACUUAUCAAGACAUACUUAGGCGGACCUGUGCCUUAGUGACUUAAAACGAGACAAGAACUAGUUAAUUUAUGUUAUGUACCCUUUGAUUCUUGUUUAGACAAUGUAAACUUUCAUGUUUGAUUUAUAAAACGAAACUUCAUUUGCCAUGGAUUU